CCUUGAAGUCUCAGAGUGGUCCAGUACGCAGUGGCCCCAAGCCAUUCUCUGCACCUAAACCCGAAACCAGCCCAUCCCCCAAACCAGCCACAAAGAAGGAGCCAGCUAUGCUUGAACUGGAGGGCAAGAAGUGGAGAGUGGAAAAUCAGGAAAAUGUUUCCAACCUGGUGAUUGAUGACACAGAGCUGAAACAGGUGGCUUACAUUUACAAGUGUGUCAACACUACAUUGCAAAUCAAGGGCAAAAUUAACUCCAUUACGGUAGAUAACUGUAAGAAACUUGGCCUGGUAUUCGAUGACGUGGUGGGCAUUGUGGAGAUAAUCAACAGUAGGGAUGUCAAAGUUCAGGUAAUGGGUAAAGUGCCAACCAUUUCCAUCAACAAAACAGAUGGCUGCCAUGCUUACCUGAGCAAGAAUUCCCUGGAUUGUGAAAUAGUGCCAAAUCUUCUGAGAUGAACGUCCUCAUUCCUACAGAAGGUGGUGACUUUAAUGAAUUCCCAGUUCCUGAGCGGUUCAAGACCCUAUGGAAUGGGCAGAAGUUGGUCACCAUAGUGACAGAAAUUGCUGGAUAAACGAAGUGCCACUGGAUUCUUUGCCCUCCCUUCACACCAUGGGAUAAAGCUGUAUCAAGAUGGUUCUUUUCUAGAUUUUCUCUACCUUUCUGCUCUUAAAACUGCUUCUCUGCUUUGAGAAGCACAGCUACCUGCCUUCACUGAAAUAUACCUCAGGCUGAGAUUUGAGGUGGGAUAGCAGGUCAGUUGAUCUUCUGCAGGAAGGUGCAGCUUUUCCAUAUCAGCUCAGCCAUGCCGCCAGUCCAUCCUGAAGGAAUUGCCAACCAGGACUGAUGAUGCAUUUUAGCUUUGAGCUUUUGGGGAUUAUUCUACCAACAAAUAGUCCAUUGAAAAGAAAAGAGUCCCAGGAAUUAACAGAUCAGAAUGUUCACACUGGUUAAUCUUUUUCUUUUUCUUUUUUUUUUAGUAUUUGUUCUGCUCAAUGGUUAAUCUUUUUCUAACAAUGAGCAUGAAGAUA